rnacentral:lncRNA from 1 species
CACUUACUAUGUCCACUCUCCUUCCUUUCUGGCGUUUCUCACAAUCUAUACCUAUUUUGUUUGGAAUAGCAUUUUGUUUGUCUCCCACUGGAAUGUAAGUCCUCAAGGUCAGCUUUGACUUCAGUAUCACUCUACCUCAAGCACCUAGGACAGUGACCAAUGCUUCACAGGUGCUCCACCACUACUGCUGAAUGAUCAAGGAGCCAAGCUAGUUGGAGCAAAACUGCUGAUGGGGUGCCUGGCAGGGUCACUGUGAACACCAGACAGUCCAGGAAAUCCAAGAAGGCAGCUAACCAAAGGGACUUCAGCAUCUGAAAGACUGGACUGAGGUGGGGGUGUACUUGACAGGGAUGGACACUGACCACACACCUCCUUGAAACGUGUCAUGGCUCAUUACCAGCCGGUUUUCUUGUACCAGAGAUGUCUCCAAGAGCACCAGCAACCCCAGCGAUCUGGAUCUGAAGUGGAUGUGUUCACAGGAGUCCUGGCUCACCCUACCCACCACCCCAGAGAAGAUGCUGCUGCACUCAGAAGAUGCCAGAGCUAGCCGCUACCCACACUGCAAGUCUGGAAGCUCCGCAAGGACCCAGCAAGGCAGCCUGCUCAGCGAAGGCUUUGUCUCCUGUGGCAGGAAUUUACUAAAGUCAUGCUAUACGCGAGGCACUGUGGAGGGACUGCAAAAAGACUUCAAGGACUGCACCAUCUUGUUGGAAAGAUGCCUAGACAACAUUUGA